UUUCGCAAUGCCCGAAAGGGUGACGAAGCGACGCCGCGUGGGUGAGGAAGGCCUUCGGGUUGUAAAGCCCUGUCAGGAGUUAAGAAAUGUAAGUGCGCUGAUAUCGCAUUUAUUUGACGAAGGCUCCAAAGGAAGCCACGGCUAACUCUGUGCCAGCAGCCGCGGUAAUACAGAGGUGGCAAGCGUUGUUCGGAAUUAUUGGGCGUAAAGAGCACGUAGGUGGGUUUGUAAGUCAGAUGUGAAAGCCUUCUGUUCAACGGAAGAAUUGCAUCUGAAACUGCGGGCCUUGAGUGUAGGAGGGGAGAAUGGAACUUCUGGUGGAGCGGUGAAAUGCGUAGAUAUCAGAAGGAACGCCGGCGGCGAAAGCGAUUCUCUGGCCUAUUACUGACACUGAGUGUGCGAAAGUUAGGGGAGCAAACGGGAUUAGAUACCCCGGUAGUCCUAACCGUAAACGAUGGGCACUAAGUAGAGGGGUUUU
rnacentral:rRNA from 1 species